UCUUGCCGUGAAUCUUGGUCGACGUGUUUAAUUUACCCUCGUUGUCUGUAAAGGCCGGCAUAUACCAUUUCGAUGUAGUUAAGAUAGAUAUUUGUUGAAAAUGCAUUAAAAUUUCCAAGCAUUUUCUAGUUUUCUUUCAUUCAUCGAACAU
rnacentral:snoRNA from 1 species